rnacentral:lncRNA from 1 species
GAAAGUGCAUAUGUGUGACUAAUUCAACUAUGUGUAUGAUCUACUUCGAGUAUGUAUGAGCAUAAAGUAAAUAAGGCACAAGCUUUGUUAACGGGGUUCGGAUAACCUACAUCCCCGGGACCUAGUCCAGACUUCAUUAACUAGAAAAGUUCGCAACCUACAAUUGCUAUAUGGAAUCCACCAACUCUUUCCUAGAAUUACAAUGAAAGAAGACUACCACUAAUUGUCUUUUCCGACUAGUGUAGCUCUUCUACAAAACCAUCAAAAGAUCUCUCUAUCUUGUUGAUGGGGCGACGCCACACACCUUGUGUGCAUCUUCUCGAGAAUACCCUGAGGCGCGCAAGUCUUCAUGAAGCGCCCUCUUGGUAUUUAUAACAAUUUGCUCAACCCUAAAGAUUGACAAUUUUCCUAUUCCUUCACCAAAUAGGAAUUGACUAAUUUCCUUUGUUCUUUAUAGAUAAGGAAAUUUGCCUUUCACGUUCUCAUCUUGAAUGUACUAUUCAAGAUGUUCAUCCAGCUCAGCAACCGCCUCUUGGCUUGUCCAAGUCGGUCCCAAACUAAUCUUCUCCAACUCUUCAAGUAGUCACACAGCUCGGCUUCUUGUACUGCCUCCUGUACUACUUCAAGUAUUCGCACAACUCACCUUCUUGUACUACUUCCUGUAUUGACGUCAGAACUAGUACAAGCACUGCUUCAUCUUCUAUGACAAUUCUAUCCAAUCACUUCAUGUAUCAUCGUAAUAUGUUGACAUGUUAAGAUAGCUUAUAAAACUCAUUCAACACCACAUCUUCAAUCUCUCCCUUGAUGAUUGAGUUUUAUAAUCCAAGCGCCUUAUAAAACCAGUCAACACAACAUCUUCA